GCCGAAUGAAUCAGCCCUGAAAAUGGAUGGCGCUUAAGCGGGCGACCGACACCAUGCCGUCUGUAUAAGAGUAAAUUUUACAGAUGAGUAGGAGGACGUGGCGGUUGUGUCGAAGCAUGCGUGCGAACGCGUGUGGAACGGCCGCUAGUGCAGAUCUUGGUGGUAGUAGCAAAUAUUCAAGCGAGAUCCUUGAAGGGCGAAGCGGGGAAGGGUUCCACGCAAACAUUGAUUGGGCGUGGGUGAGUCGUUCCUAAGCCGAGUGGCAAUUGCUAAGUAGCGGCGAAAGGGAAGCAGGUUGACAUUCCUGCACACGGAUGUGGAGGCGGUGACGCUUUAAUGAGGGCGAAGACGCUGGCGAUGGCGCUGGGCAGAGAUUUCUUUUCUGUUUAACCGCUGAAGCGCGCGGUGUGGAAUCCGCUUGUCGGGAGAAACACGCUCGUUCGGGCAGAGCGCCGGGGCUAUUCCGGCGUCCAGCUCGCCAUCGACGGCCCUUGAAAAUUUGCCUGCUGGAAUAGUUUUUUUUAUAUUCUAUGAAGAUCCACGCCGUGGCGUACCGAUAACCGCAUCAGGUCCCCAAGGUGAACAGC
rnacentral:rRNA from 1 species